GGAGAAUUUGCUAGGGUUACUCUCGUAGA
rnacentral:piRNA from 1 species